ACAAGCAAUUCAGUUGAGCCUGCUGCUAGUUGGAUGCAAAAGCACCUAUUAGGGAGAAACAAUGGUUCCACAAGGCAGUUCUGUGCUCUUGCUUCCAUGUCUCUGAAGGCGUUUAAGUGCAUUUGAGUAGAUAAACACAUGGCGGUCUAAUAAAGAUGGAACUGUCGGCGACAAGAGAAUGGUUAUAUCCUGCUUUUCUACAAGCUGUGUUGUGGUUUAUCCUUUGUUUAAAACCCUUUUAGCAGUGUAUUUAUUAUGAAAGUGGAAGUACUUGCCAGUAUGAACAUGCAAGUAAUCUAGAGCUAAACAGUAGCAUAGUGUAAUGUUUCGCCAGGCUAGCUGCGACGUGUUAUGUUAAGCAAUGUAUGUACCCCAAUGUGACGCUAUUAAAUAUUCUGCCACAUUUAACACCAAAUACUGCUAGUGGUACUGUCUAGAGUACAAUACCCUUAUGGAAUUUACUUGUCGAGGUGUAUUGCAAUCCGAAAAUCAGUUCAAAAUAAAUUUAUUUUGGGACCA